UGGCGGCAGGCCUAACACAUGCAAGUCGAACGAACUCUUCGGAGUUAGUGGCGGACGGGUGAGUAACACGUGGGAACGUGCCUUUAGGUUCGGAAUAACUCAGGGAAACUUGUGCUAAUACCGAAUGUGCCCUUCGGGGGAAAGAUUUAUCGCCUUUAGAGCGGCCCGCGUCUGAUUAGCUAGUUGGUGAGGUAAAGGCUCACCAAGGCGACGAUCAGUAGCUGGUCUGAGAGGAUGAUCAGCCACAUUGGGACUGAGACACGGCCCAAACUCCUACGGGAGGCAGCAGUGGGGAAUCUUGCGCAAUGGGCGAAAGCCUGACGCAGCCAUGCCGCGUGAAUGAUGAAGGUCUUAGGAUUGUAAAAUUCUUUCACCGGGGACGAUAAUGACGGUACCCGGAGAAGAAGCCCCGGCUAACUUCGUGCCAGCAGCCGCGGUAAUACGAAGGGGGCUAGCGUUGCUCGGAAUUACUGGGCGUAAAGGGAGCGUAGGCGGACAUUUAAGUCAGGGGUGAAAUCCCGGGGCUCAACCUCGGAAUUGCCUUUGAUACUGGGUGUCUUGAGUAUGAGAGAGGUGUGUGGAACUCCGAGUGUAGAGGUGAAAUUCGUAGAUAUUCGGAAGAACACCAGUGGCGAAGGCGACACACUGGCUCAUUACUGACGCUGAGGCUCGAAAGCGUGGGGAGCAAACAGGAUUAGAUACCCUGGUAGUCCACGCCGUAAACGAUGAUUGCUAGUUGUCGGGAUGCA
rnacentral:rRNA from 1 species